rnacentral:hammerhead_ribozyme from 1 species
AUCCAGCCGACGAGUCCCAAAUAGAACGAAACGAGCGUCGUGAAU